rnacentral:rRNA from 1 species
UUUAUGGAGAGUUUGAUCCUGGCUCAGGAUGAACGCUGGCGGCGUGCUUAACACAUGCAAGUCGAACGGUGAAGGAGAAGCUUGCUUCUUUGGAUCAGUGGCGAACGGGUGAGUAACACGUGAGUAACCUGCCCCAG